GGAUGAGAAUAAAGAGCUGGUUCGAGUAAAGGUUAAAGAUACUCUUGACACCAAGAAGCUACGAUAUGGCUUUCAAGAUGUUCCUAUUCCUUGGCUGAAAACAAGACCAGUACCAAAAUUAACAAGGCAGGAAAAAUCACGUCGUGCAGCUAAAAAAAGCGUUGUAUUAACGCCAAUUAGUGCAUUCCCUGUUGUCUUGGAUAAAGUCAUAAGUGUGGAGGUUUCCAGGCCAAAGAAAUCAAGAAGCGCGACGGAGAAAGAAGAUGAAGCUGAAGUUCUAGUUAUUGAAGGGAUUGAGUAUGAAGAAAAUCAAUUAAUUAAGUUCGAUGUCCUCGUCAACGAUGAACCUGAUUCACCUGGUGGACCAGACAAGUCCGAGUUUGCAGGAAGUUUCGUCAAUGUGCCUCACAAGCAUGCAAAAAAAUCAAAGACAACUAUGGUAUUGGGGAUUACAGGAUUGUUGGAAGAUCUGGAAGCUGAAGGAGAUGAUACCCUUGUGGUGACUUUAGUGCCUCGGACUGGUGGUGAUUCUGUUACCGUUGCUAAUGUCAAGAUUGAGUUUGUCGCUGACUGAUCAUGGUGAUGAGAGGACAUAUGCUACCAUUUUCUUUUCUUUUCUUCCUUUAGCCUUUUCUUGUUUUUUUCUCUUUCUAUGUUGGUAUUCAGUGAGUUUUCUCUUUUUUCUUUCAAGAUGCUCAACUAAUGGACCGUAUUUCAAUUUGAAUACUACAAUGGUUUCUUAGAUUUGUUGCCAGAAGUAGAUGAACAAAAAUAACUAGACCCAUAUGGUAAAAAAUCAUUGUCAUUUUAGACUUUUUUUAAAAUGAUACAUAAACCAAAAACAAUAUGGUUUUGAAAGAAAGAAAAAACUAAAUUUUAUCAUAAACAAACCCAUAUCAGAUCUCAAAUAAAUGAACUACCAAUGAGAAAUUGGUAGACGUCUCCCUUUUUCACACUUGGGUCAUUGAGGAAAGUGCGUGGUCCAGCCACCCUGCAAUGUCCACUGACGCCGCGCUUAUCGUGGGCGGGUUUGCUUAAUGCGGCGGUGGACGGGGAGUGUUUCGAUUGAAAAAGAGGAGGUUUUUCCUUCUACUUUUAAGAGAAGAGAGAAAAGGCAAAUUUUAUAAAAUUCUCAUUGCAAUGGACAGAUAAAUAGCCAAUUUUCUACACCUCUCGCCUGUACUGCAACAUGACAUACAGUAUAAUUAGUACAAAAACGCAAGGCAGUACUAUAAUU
rnacentral:lncRNA from 1 species